rnacentral:rRNA from 1 species
UACGUAGGUGGCAAGCGUUGUCCGGAUUUAUUGGGUUUAAAGGGUGCGUAGGCGGCCUUGUAAGUCAGUGGUGAAAUACUCCAGCUUAACUGGAGGGGUGCCAUUGAUACUGCAGGGCUUGAGUACAGAUGAAGUAGGCGGAAUUGACGGUGCAGCGGUGAAAUGCAUAGAUAUCGUCAAGAACUCCGAUAGCGAAGGCAGCUUACUAAGCUGUAACUGACGCUGAGGCACGAAAGUGUGGGGAGCAAACAGG